ACGAACGCUGGCGGCGUGCUUAACACCUGCAAGUCGAACGGAAAGGCCCUGCUUUUGUGGGGUGCUCGAGUGGCGAACGGGUGAGUAACACGUGAGUAACCUGCCCUUGACUUUGGGAUAACUUCAGGAAACUGGGGCUAAUACCGGAUAGGAGCUCCUGCUGCAUGGUGGGGGUUGGAAAGUUUCGGCGGUUGGGGAUGGACUCGCGGCUUAUCAGCUUGUUGGUGGGGUAGUGGCUUACCAAGGCUUUGACGGGUAGCCGGCCUGAGAGGGUGACCGGCCACAUUGGGACUGAGAUACGGCCCAGACUCCUACGGGAGGCAGCAGUGGGGAAUAUUGCACAAUGGGCGGAAGCCUGAUGCAGCAACGCCGCGUGCGGGAUGAAGGCCUUCGGGUUGUAAACCGCUUUCGCCUGUGACGAAGCGUGAGUGACGGUAAUGGGUAAAGAAGCACCGGCUAACUACGUG
rnacentral:rRNA from 1 species